rnacentral:misc_RNA from 1 species
GAUGAAGAACGUAGCGAAAUGCGAUAAGUAGGGUGAAUUGCAGAAUUCAGUGAAUCAUCGAAUCUUUGAACGCACAUUGCGCCCCUUGGUAUUCCAUGGGGCAUGCCUGUUCGAGCGUCAUUUGUACCUUCAAGCUUUGCUUGGUGUUGGGUGUUUGUCUCGCCUUUGCGUGUAGACUCGCCUUAAAAUAAUUGGCAGCCGGCGUAUUGAUUUCGGAGCGCAGUACAUCUCGCGCUUUGCACUCAUAACGACAGCGUCCAAAAGUACAUUUUACACUCUUGACCUCGGAUCAGGUAGGGAUACCCGCUGAACUUAAGCAUAUCAAUAAGCUGAGGA